GGAGUUUGAAGAGUGAGGUGGGCUCAGGAAGUCUUUGGCAACCCAGUGAGAGCAGAUGUGAGGCCACCACCACCCUGGGCCGGGGCCCUGCAGGUCUACAGGAAUGUCUCUGCAAGGAGCCGUCAGUGCGUCUAUGCUCCCUGAAGAAUGAAACCCAAGCUUCUUAUCAUGCAGAAGACGUCCCCAUCCCAGGUACUGUUGCCAACCAAGCUGGGAAGCACACAGGUUUCAGGAAAUUCCUUCCCACACAGCCAUCCUGUUCCUGGGAUUUAUUUAAAAGUGGAGGAGGAAAAGCAUCAUGCACAACUAUGUUCAUUAAAGACCAGCUUAGAAUAACACACAUGGAAACAAUAUACAUUCCAACUACACGCAUAGCUAAGACAAAUAUAGUAAAGAACUCUGUGAGGGAAAUAUUAUGUAACUAUUAGUAGUUCCCUUUGUUUGGAACACUUCCCCACCCCCUCUGCCUUAGUUUUCUGCCAGCUAACUCCCACUUAGCCUUCAAGACUCAGGGUACCCACCCCUCCUUCUCUGUCUUAUGUAACACCUGUGCACACCUCUAUGGCUAUCGAAGAAUUUACAGCCCACGCA